CUAGUCCUACAACACCUAGCUGCCAACUUUGAUUGGCAGUUACAGCAAUUUGAUGUAAAGAAUGUCUUUUUGCAUUCUCUCUCUUUCACUUUUACCUUAAUCUAUGUGGCUACAUGAAUAACUACUCUUUAACUAGCUCUUGUUCUCUCUCUUAGUGCCAACCAUGAGAUCUUCCUCACACUCUCAAUUCUAUCAACCACUGCCAAAAAGAUUUUAAGCUGAGAGAAAUAAUAUAGAGGAGCUCUAGAUAAUGACCUUGGAUGAGAGUAACGACCCCCUAAGAAAAACAGAAGGUACCUUUCUGACAAAGAAGUUAUUCAAUAAUAGGCUACUUCAAAUUGACACAACAAAUAUGGGAAAGUAAAAUCUUGCUUUUAGAAAAUUUGUGUUGGAUGAUCUAUUCUCCAAUUACUUUCCUAAAAACUUUCAAUUAAAAAACCAAAUUUGGCUGUUAUGGAAAAGCAAAUUCAUGAUUGUUUUCUUAAAGCAACAAAAUUACUUCCAAUAGAAGCAAAUAAAAAUCAUUAAUGUGUUCUAAUUACUCAAUACAUCUUUAGGUAAAAGUUUAUAGAAUACUAUAAAUAUAUUUUAACAUCUAAAAGAAUAAGCGGAAUAAAAAUAAAAUAUAUUACUUUUAUUUCUAUGAUAUUUUUAACAACACAUAUACAUAAGUACCAAAUAAAAGUAUUUUAUACAGCAUCAAAAUAAUAUAUUAACGAAAUAUUAUAAUUACUUUUCAUGUCAGCAAACUUUUUAAAAAAGAUACUUAUCCAGACAGCACUACCAAAUGAAGUCAUACUCAACCAAGCCCCUAAUAACCUAAGCCUCGAUAUUAGUAACAGCAAAACCACUCUUAUUCAGGAUAACAUGCCACCCGGAAUUAACCAAAAACUUGCAAAAAGGUAAGCACAUUAUUGGACAUCUCAUGGGGCAGGAGCAAAAUAAUGCCAUAAUCAAACUAAAGAUGGGAUGAAAAUCUUCAAUCUCAUCCUCCCCUACACUCAAACAUUUAAGUAAACCUCUCCCAAACAUGAGAUAAUAUAUGACUACAAACAUCAACUACCAAAGUGAAAAGGAACAAAGAAAGAGGAUUUUCCUGCCUAACCCCAUGCUACCCUGAAACAUAGCUUUAGGUUCACCACAACAAUUACAAAGAAACUCAAGAGAGGCAUCCCUCCAUCCAUCUCCAACAAUCCCCAAACUUUUCUCUACAUGACCUUAUUCAAAAACCCCCAAUUAACAUUAUAUAUAAUCCUUUUCAAAAAUCAAACUUAAACACUGAACCUAACAUGUAAAUCUUUUCACAUCCUAAGUCAUUCAUUAGCAAUGAGGGGAAGCUCAAGCACUCAUCAACCUAAAAAAAAAUGCAUUGUACCACCUUCAUAUUUUAUUGAACUAUAAAUAACAUGUCAAAGUUCCAUCAAUUCAUACUUCUACAACGACAUUAUAACUCAACAAACAAAAGAUUAUUUUCAUAAAAUGUUAACAAUUUCAUUAGUAGGUAUAGAUGAUUAACAAGUAACCCUCAAAAUAUUUCUUUUUAGAGUGUAGUGGGCUCCCGCGCUUAACAAUAUUAAUUUCAGUACAUAAAAUUCAACUACUACGAAAUAGAUUUUGACAAAGUCCAAUAGGACCAGCAAAUAAGGUGAUUCGACAAGAAUGGGAAAUUGAGGGGUGACUUGAAAUGCGCUAUUACACUGUCAAACCCUAGUCUCAUAUAAACAUAAACGUGAUUAUUGAAGAAACUACAAAAAUAACAGAUGCAAUAUCAUGGUGCUAAAUGAGUCCCAGCAAAAGAAAAAGGUUUUCAGUUCUUUCUAUGGCUUAACCACACUUCAGAAAUUAGGUGAGAACUCACCAUUCAAUUCUAUGGAAUGUUUAUGAUGUGGCCUCAGGACCCUUCUGCAAAAACAAGAAACACAUAGCAUUAUAGAAUACCUUGUCUCCCCUGAUUAGUUAACAAGAAUCCAUAAGUUCGGCUUGAAAGUUCAGAACACUUGGAAUUUCCGAAAAGAAAAAUAGAAACAAAAACCAGAAGUUCAAUAAGUCACUGAACCCCUAUCAGAGUAAAAGAAGAACUACAGUCAUCUCUCUUCCUUUCUGUUUCCUCUCAGGAAUGCUAAAAUAAAACAAGAAGAUUGCAGUCAUCCACAAUAACGAGAAAUAACCUACCCUGUAAGAACCUUUAGAAGAGCGACCGUAGAAACGGAGCCGAGAAGAGCGCCAGCUCCUACCAAUGCCAAACACUUGAGUUUCUCCUCCAUUUACAGAUUUUCUCUAGUUUCCCCUCUUUUCUCAGUGGCCAAACAGUAGCGUCGAGUUUUAUUUCGAGCCUCGGGAUUCCUCUG
rnacentral:lncRNA from 1 species